rnacentral:misc_RNA from 1 species
AAAAAAAAAAAAAAAAAACCUGUAAAUUUAGGGUGAAUUUGAAACUAUUUAUAAGAAAAAGGUGAAUUUAGAAAAAUGUGAAACUAUUGUCUCCAUUUCCUCAACGAGCAAGUUGUCCUCCUCGUGAGGAUUAUUCAAAGUAUGUGAAAAUAUUACUGUGCUAUGAACUUGAGUAUUAUGAUUAUCCAUGGUGAGGAUUGUAGAAACUGAGUUCAUGUUCCCCACGCUGAUAAAUGAACGCCUGGCCUGUCCUGUGUGCUAGGACUCCACUCUGAUGGUUAAGUAAAUGAAAAGCUAGGUGAAAAAUAAAUAUCAAUGGUGG